AAUGAUGAUUUGGUGUAGUAAAUAUAGUCACGUUUUGAAAGCUACUAUGAUAAAAACAUACAGUAAGUAGAUAAGUAAUAAGUAUAUGUAUAUGCCAUUUUAAUUCAAAGACCUGCAUUUGGAGUGUUUCAACCCAUCCUAUAAUGUUCAAAGCAAACAUAGCUCUUUUGCCAUGUAUCCAUCUAUUAGGUUUCAUGUUUCUAACAAAAGUAGCUCUAUGUUAUUUUCACUAUUGGUUUUAUUUUUCAAAACUUUAACCCAUCUUUGUCUAUAAAAAAGGUCAUUUUCUUUAUUUCUUUUUUUCAUUGUAAUUUUUUUAAACAACAUAUUUUGAUAUCAAUACAUUAUAUUAAAAACAAAUAGAUUAAAAGAAAAUUAGAUUUAAAAAAACUCAAAUAUCAUUACAAUUUAAAUCAAUAAAAUUAUUUUUAAAUAAUUUGCAUAUUCUCUUGCUAUUGUGUUUAACACAUAUAUUUGAUUUUUUAUUUUUAAAAAAGGUAUGAAAUAUGUAUAAAUGAUGCUUUCUAUGAUGAUUUGUAA
rnacentral:lncRNA from 1 species